rnacentral:rRNA from 1 species
AAAGAUUGUCCUUUUACCAAACAUAUGCAAAUGAAAGCACGUCUUAUAAUAAGAAGAAAUCUUUCUCGGUAUCAAUCCCCUUGCCCCUCAUUCUUUGAGAAUGAGGAUAAUCCUUUUCGACUUAACAUUUCUUCAUUUGUAAUCUAG